ACGUGUGCUGUUCCGAUCUGUUGGAGACUUUAGGAAAAAUGUUUAUAUGAAACAAAACAAUGCAAACAUAAACGCAAGGCAAUUACUGACGGAAUAACUGGAAGUUAUCCAAAAAGGGAGGCAUGUAAUGGUUGGGGUUGUAAGUGGUAAAAGAGCUAAAUCUGCAUCUACCAUAACAGGAUGUCAGUAGCAUCUAUUGGUAAUUUAAAAGUACCUGGGGGCACCUGGGUGGCUCAGUCGGUUAAGCAUCGGACUCUUGGUUUCAGC